GUAAUUCAGAUUCAUCUCCUCCUGAUAAUGAACAAGGCCUCCCCAGAGUAUGAAGAGAACAUGCACAGAUACCAGAAGGCAGCCAAGCUCUUCCAGGGGAAGCUGCAAUAAUUUAUUUUAACUCAAGAUUUCAAUUUCAUGGUGCAGACCAUAAAUUCAAUCAGUGUGAGCUGCAACAAUUACAAGGUAUCUCUUUAUCCCUGGACGUCACCUCAGAUAGAACUUUUUCUUUCAAACUUCCCCAACUGCAGAUUCUCUUUAUUCUGGUGGACAGUGGUAUGAAAGAAAAUGG
rnacentral:lncRNA from 1 species